rnacentral:tRNA from 103 species
GCGGGCAUCGUAUAGUGGCUAUUACCUCAGCCUUCCAAGCUGAUGACGCGGGUUCGAUUCCCGCUGCCCGCUCCA